rnacentral:rRNA from 1 species
CUACGUGCCAGCAGCCGCGGUAAUACGGAAGGUCCGGGCGUUAUCCGGAUUUAUUGGGUUUAAAGGGAGCGUAGGCCGGAGAUUAAGUGUGUUGUGAAAUGUAGACGCUCAACGUCUGACUUGCAGCGCAUACUGGUUUCCUUGAGUACGCACAACGUUGGCGGAAUUCGUCGUGUAGCGGUGAAAUGCUUAGAUAUGACGAAGAACUCCGAUUGCGAAGGCAGCUGACGGGAGCGCAACUGACGCUUAAGCUCGAAGGUGCGGGUAUCGAACAGGAUUAGAUACCCUGGUAGUCCGCACAGUAAACGAUGGAUGCCCGCUGUUGGUACCUGGUAUCAGCGGCUAAGCGAAAGCAUUAAGCAUCCCACCUGGGGAGUACGCCGGCAACGGUGAAACUCAAAUGAAUUGACGGGGGCCCGCACAAGCGGUGGAGCAUGUGGUUUAAUUCGAUGCAACGCGAAGAACCUUACCUACUCUUGACAUCC